rnacentral:rRNA from 1 species
AACGCGAAGAACCUUACCUGGUCUCGACAUCCACGGAAGUUUUCAGAGAUGAGAAUGUGCCUUCGGGAACCGUGAGACAGGUGCUGCAUGGCUGUCGUCAGCUCGUGUUGUGAAAUGUUGGGUUAAGUCCCGCAACGAGCGCAACCCUUAUCCUUUGUUGCCAGCGGUCCGGCCGGGAACUCAAAGGAGACUGCCAGUGGUAAACUGGAGGAAGGUGGGGAUGACGUCAAGUCAUCAUGGCCCUUACGACCAGGGCUACACACGUGCUACAAUGGCGCAUACAAAGAGAAGCGACCUCGCGAGAGCAAGCGGACCUCAUAAAGUGCGUCGUAGUCCGGAUUGGAGUCUGCAACCCGACUCCAUGAAGUCGGAAUCGCUAGUAAUCGUGGAUCAGAAUGCCACGGUGAAUACGUUCCCGGGCCUUGUACACACCG